AUUGAACGCUGGCGGCAUGCCUAACACAUGCAAGUCGAACGAGUGGCGGACGGGUGAGUAAUGUCUGGGAAACUGCCCGAUGGAGGGGGAUAACUACUGGAAACGGUAGCUAAUACCGCAUACCAUCGGAUGUGCCCAGAUGGGAUUAGCUAGUCGGUGGGGUAACGGUUCACCUCGGCGACGAUCCCUAGCUGGUCGUAGAGGAUGCACAGCCAAACUGGAGCUGAGACACGGUCCAGAUUCCUACGGGAGGCAGCAGUGGGGAAUAUUGCACAAUGGGCGCAAGCCUGAGGAAGCCAUGCCGCGUGUAUGAAGAAGGCCUUCGGGUUGUAAAGUACUUUCAGCGAGGAGGCGUUACUCGCAGAAGAAGCACCGGCUAACUCCGUGCCAGCAGCCGCGGUAAUAC
rnacentral:rRNA from 1 species